CCCCUGCUUCUGACAGCCAUUAUUAUCACCUGCAGGUGAUUAGCAACCAUGUGUUUCACUUUCUGCCAAGUAUCUUCUCACGGAUUUGAAAGCCAGUGUCACUUUUUUAUCGGGAUGGGAUCUUUGUUUGGAGUUACGAACGGAACGAAAGGAGCAUGGGCCAGUAAUGUUCCCGGCUACAGGUGUUUUUAGGACGUCUGAAUCCGCAUUUGGGAAUCUCAUCUGCAGCUGAAAGGGAAGCAGAGAAAGGCCUGUCUGAUGCAAAUGAAGCUAAACAUCUCCAUGCUGUAUGGGUCCAGCUGCAGGGUUGGACGGUAUGACAAAUAAACACUGGCUGACAUCACAGAGCCAGACUGGAGGGCUGAAAGGCAGACCCUCCUCUCUGAUCUUCUAACAUUUAUUCACCUCCCAGUGGAAAGAAAAACAGGCCGAGGGUGAGGUCCACUUGGUGUAGGUGGAUGUAGAAUGGCUAAGCCCCAAAGUGACUGUCAGGCACUGACCCCACCUCGUCACAUCUGUACUAUGUUAAAAUGAAGAGGGAGUGUGAAGGAAAUGAGAAGACAGGAAGGAGAGACAAAUUGACCUAAAACAGUAAUUCUUGAUGGAAACUGACAGUGGAAACCUACUAAGAAACAUUCUGAUUAAAACAUGAAACCAUGUUUGUGGCAUGAAAUUCAUGCCUGGCUUUGGUGGGGCGGCAGCGUCUUACAGUGGCUCAGACACCUCGGAAGAAUGCCACUGGUGUGGGAGGCUGGGCGAGGUCGCCUUGAUGGAUGGCUGAGCGGCGGGGACUAAAAUAGCAAGAGGCAUCCACACCAGUUAACUAAUCAGUGCUCGUUAUAGACGAUGUCUCGCCAGAACACAAACAAAAGCUCACGGUGAACUGACCGUGCGGAAACCGAUGUUGUGAGCCAAGCGCAAACUGCGUCCUUACUUUAUGUCGUGGGUGCCCAAAGUGUGGCCCAGGGGCCAUAUGCAGCCUGCAGCUAAUUUUAUGAUAUAAAAAAAAUGGAAUUAAAGAACAAACAUGUUAAAUAUAACGAGAAACAGUUGCAAUGUUGACUCUAAUAAAACAAAGCUAU